rnacentral:rRNA from 1 species
UACGAAGGGUGCAAGCGUUAAUCGGAAUUACUGGGCGUAAAGGGUGCGUAGGCGGUUCGUUAAGUCUGUUGUGAAAUCCCCGGGCUCAACCUGGGAAUGGCAAUGGAUACUGGCGGGCUAGAGUGUGUCAGAGGAUGGUGGAAUUCCCGGUGUAGCGGUGAAAUGCGUAGAGAUCGGGAGGAACAUCAGUGGCGAAGGCGGCCAUCUGGGACAACACUGACGCUGAAGCACGAAAGCGUGGGGAGGAAACAGG